GCCAGGGCGUGCCCGCCAGCCGGCUUCCUGCGGUCGGGCCGGGAGGAGGGAAGGCGCUGAGGGGCCCGGGCCUGGCAGGCCGGGUUCCUGGCUUUCUCUCCACGUUUCCUGAGCGGGAGCCCGGGGGAUGGGACCCGGCUCAGACCUCCUUCCCGGGGAGCGCAGCCAGGAAAUCGCGUCCUUGUGAACUCGGGUUCCUCCUCUGGCCGGAAGGUGCCGACUGCCAUCCACGGUCGUCCAGCCCUGACCCGCGGCGUGUGAUGUGACCCACUUACCCGGGGGCGGAAGAAGCCCAGAGCCGAAAUGGCAGGCGCGGACCCCGCGGUGCAAGUGCGCUGGCUCCAUCCCACGGACGAGAAAGCUGAGGCUUGCAAGAUCGAAAUGACCUACCCAAGGUCAUCGUUAACACAUUACUAGGAAUGAGAGCGCGUUCUACAUUUCACUUCUCCUGCAAAUGCUCUAAGUGUAAUUGUGCCAUUAGGUCCUCAGGAGUUAGGAAGGUAACAUGGGCCCUAUUCUAGAAAUGAGAAAACUGAGAAUCAGAGAGGUCAAGUGGCUUCUCCAAUGUCACACAGCCAAAUGCAACCGAGUUAGAAAUUAAACUCCAGUCUCCUGUUUCUGGAGCUCAGAAUGGUCAUUCCACUGUCCUGCUUCCCAGAUGUCCUGCUUUAAUGCAUUACAGCCUAGUAACCUGAGGGCUAGAACCUUAUUUGUUUUAGGUCCCCCCAAAAACCCCACCUAGACCUGGCGCAAGGUAGAUGCUCAGACAUGACUAUGGAGCCCAGCACAGAAGCUCAAAGUCAGAAGGACUGGGAGGAGGCACCUACCUUGACUCCUAAGAAGAACGAACCUUCAACCAAGUGAAAAUUCAGCCUCUGCUUGAAUACUUCUAUCAUGGUGAAUUCUCUCUCUCCCAUAGUAGCCCAUUCUCCUGUUGGACAAAUAUGUUUGGUCCAAAAUAUAAACACUGCAUUUUGCUGCUGGCUCUCCCUAUAAAUAAAGGAAGACCGUUUCCUUUCUCGUGGCCACAAUCUAUGUGGCAUGGUAUUCUUAGCCAUUUUAUAAGGAUUGAUGGCUCAAAAAUGUUCAGUUGCUUGUGAACUAGCACAAUGUCAGCCGUUCACCAAAGAUGUUCACUCUCCGUGAAUAGAGUUGUUUCAGAAAAAAGCAGCCCAGACUACAUUUUCCAGCACCCCUUACAUAAUUAAGUAUGCAACUAGUUUUCACCAACGGGAUGUGGGCAGAGACGAUGCGGGCCAUACCCAGGCCAAAUCCGAGUCAAGAAAUAUGUAUGCUUUCUCAGAGCUCUACUUUUCCUCUAUCAUCUGGAUAGAGAUAUCCAGAUAUCAUCUGGAUGCCAAUACUAGAGUGACCUUGGAAGACACACAUACCAAAUGUUGUCAGCCUGGGUCUCACUCAGCCUGGUCUCACUUGACUGAAUGGAGCACACAGUGAACUAACCUCCAUUGUAUUUAAGCACUGAAAUUUCAGGAUUUCUCUAUUACAGCAGUUAACAUAAUUUAACACUGGGACUAACUUGGAUUCAUUGUUCUAUACACCAUGGAGCACGGUGUUGGUCACACAGAAGAUGCUCAAAACAUAACCAUCUAGCACUGACUGUUGUCCAGUUAGCUCAGCCGGUCAGAAAUUGUGUCUGUUCAUAUAAUUGAUGCAUAUGUCCUGCCUAUUCCCCCAAAGGGUUUUGAGGUGGUUUCCAUUGCAGCUUCAAGCCUACUUGAUGAAUAAUUAAAGAGCAAGAAUCAAUGAGUCAUGAAAGCCUGGACCAAAGGCCAGAGGGGAAGAAGGGAAAAAGAUGAAAAAUUGACUAACUAGAGCAGAAAUACUAGGCUAAGCUUCCUGAGGAUAGCAUUGUGGCAGAGCAAAAAAAAUGAAACAAAACAAAACAAAACACAAACCACUGCUCUGAGUUUCCUGGCAGUCCGAGCAAAGAGGGAAACAAGAUGAGUUACAAAUUGUAUGGGAAGUAGCAAACAUGUGAUCAAGCAUACAAAACCUGGGGCCAGACUGUUAUUUUGAAGUCCACGUCUACCAUACCCUAGUCAUGUGAACUUAGGCGUUAUUUAACUUCUCUAUGCUUCUGGCUCUUCAUCUGAAAAAUGGAGAUGAUAUAAUGAAACCUCUCUCUUUGGGGUCAUUGGGAGAAUUAAAUGAGUUAAAGCAUUUUCAGUUCUUAUAACAGGUCUGUCGUGUACUAAAUUCUAUGUAGGAAUCAGCUAUUACUAUAGUCUGAUGGGAAGAAUUAGUUUAGUGACUUGGGAGAGACGAAUCUUUCUCGGGGAAUGUAUUAAACAAGGGACACCCUCCCCCCAGCUAAUAAGGUGGGCUGUUUUUAUGACAUCCGCUGGGCCAUGGGUCACAUGAUUAUUUCUCUUAUUGGCUUUUGGACCAGACAAGCUUUGGCAUCCUACUCACUGGGGAACUCGGGGGAUAGGUUGCUUGGGGGUAACCUAGGGCCCUAGGUCUCUUUCUGCUGACCUCUCCACAGGACAGGUAAGUGUCACAGCAAGAGCAAAGGGUUUGGUGUUAAACAGACCCAGGUACAUUUGUUAACCUCUCUAGGCCAGUUUCUUCAUUCAAACAGCAGACACAAUAGCAAACAGGACCUACCUCAGAGAGUUGCCAUAAAGAUUAUAUGAAAGAAUUCUACAAAGCACUUUGCCCUAAUAUGUGUGUAUAUAUAUAUACAUAUCUAUGUAUAUAUAUAAUAUAUAAAUAUAAUAUAAUAUAUAUUUAAAUACAGUUGAUUCGGCAGGUGAAUUGUUACACACUCCUUAGCAGAUUCCGACUUCCAUGGGCACCGUCCUGCUGCCAUAAUAACUGGUACUGUAGGAAGACUGUAGUGCAUGAGCACUCACAUAAUAAGGAAGACCCCAAGAAAAUAAAACAAGGAAUCUUGCCUGAGACCAAGAGAGUCAAGACAAUAACUUUUUUUUAAGGAACGCUCCAGAAAGUAUCCCUUGUUGGUGGUGUAACCAAGAUAGAGCUGGGAAGAGAAAGAACAUGCACUUCGGAUGGGACAGAGUGAGAUUCAAAUGCAUCGUCUCCUGACCCCACUGGCUGCGACCUUGGCACUCCAGCAACAGAUCUGCCAGUUUCCCUGCCAGCACCCUGCUGCCAUGAGCUCCAAUGCUGCUUUCUGCUCUGAACCUCUGUCCCUGUUUGUGUCCUCUGCCUGGAAAGAAUCCCCCGCUCGGCCCUCCGGUUGGUUGCCUAAUCCAAGUCACACUUCAGCACUAAGCUCUGGCACGUCCCCAGGAAGCCUUCCCUAACCUUCCCCCAGCUCCACUUUGAUUAGAUACCCUGCUUCUGGAUGCCUACCACCACAGCUCUUACCACGCUGGACUGUCUCUAUCACUGGACCUUGAGUGCAGGGACCACGUCUUAUUUAACCCCGAGAGCCCUGACACUUGGCCCAGAGCAAGAGAUCAGCACCUGGUUAUGAAAGUCUCCCCGAACUGCUGAGGAUGGGCUCUGAGAACAAAGCCUGGCCUGAGAAGCGGGAGCCUUGAUCUUUUGCUUGGUUCUGCCAUGAACUCUCCGUGGCCUCAGAUAAGUCAGUUCCUGCUCUGGGCCUCGGUUUCUCCAUCUUUAAACUGCAAAGUUUGGACCAGAUCAGAGAUUUUCUGGCUGUGAGAAUCUCCUGGGGGAGCUUUAAAAACAUACAAAUAUUGUUUAAAAAAUACAAAUGUCCAGACCUUAGCCCCCAAGGGGUAGAGCUCAGGCACCGUAAAUUUUCAAAGCUCCCUACAUGCUUCCAGGGGAAUGAGAACCCCUGGCCUGGCUGAUCCCUGGUCAUCUUUAUCACUGACAAUCUGAUUAUCUUUAAACAAAAAUCCAAGACAGGUGGAGCCUGUUUUCCAGACCUUUGCAACAGCUAGGGAAGUCUGAGAAUGCAAGCCCUUCCUUCUUACAGCUUUGCACUGAGUUAUUAUCAGCCUUCAGUAGGGAAGGGACCACCUUGAAUGACCAAAUAAACGUGUUGCAUAAAGGCUCUUGCCAUUGUGGUUGACAACUCCCUGGAUUUUCUCCCAUGCUUGUGGGAAAGAGGGCAGAGGGGUUUUAAACUCUCCCCAUGUGGGGCACCAGGGCGUCUACCUUUGGCUCAGUUCGUGAUCCCAGGGUCCUGGGAUCGAGUCCCACAUCAGGCUUCCUGCAGGGAGCCUAC